rnacentral:rRNA from 1 species
UACGGAGGGUGCAAGCGUUAUCCGGAUUCACUGGGUUUAAAGGGUGCGUAGGCGGGCAGGUAAGUCAGUGGUGAAAUCUCCGAGCUUAACUCGGAAACUGCCGUUGAUACUAUUUGUCUUGAAUACUGUGGAGGUAAGCGGAAUAUGUCAUGUAGCGGUGUAAUGCUUAGAUAUGACAUAGAACACCAAUUGCGAAGGCAGCUUACUACGCAGUUAUUGACGCUGAGGCACGAAAGCGUGGGGAUCAAACAGG